GAUGGACACUUAUUAGCAAUCUUGAUGCAGCAAGGGGCACAUGCUAUGUGCCCAUUCCCACACUGAAGCAGACGACAAUAUCACAUAUAGAGAAGCAGAAGAGUUAACUGAAAAAUCAACCUCCUCGGGUACUUAUCCCACACUUUGCAGGCACGAGUAGUGCACUUUACCUUCUCCUAACGACCCAUCAGCUUCCAUCUCUGUGGCAGCUUUCAGGCCUAAAGAUUGAGGAUGUGUUGUAGCACUGUGCUUUUUAUAAAGUCAGCUGAAGUGCACCCUAGAGCAAGUAGGAUGAGG
rnacentral:misc_RNA from 1 species